GACAGAGGUGCCCGAGCGUUUAAUCGGAAUCACUGGGCUUAAAGAGCGCGUAGGCGGUCCGAUAAGUCGGCUGUGAAAGUCCAGGCUCAACCCUGGAAGCCGGCCGAUACUGUCGGACUAGAGUCCGGAAGAGGCGAGUGGAAUUCCCGGUGUAGCGGUGAAAUGCGCAGAUAUCGGGAGGAACACCAAUGGCGAAGGCAGCUCG
rnacentral:rRNA from 1 species